GAUGAACGCUGGCGGCGUGCCUAAUACAUGCAAGUCGAGCGAACGGACGAGAAGCUUGCUUCUCUGAUGUUAGCGGCGGACGGGUGAGUAACACGUGGAUAACCUACCUAUAAGACUGGGAUGACUUCGGGAAACCGGAGCUAAUACCGGAUGAUAUUUUGAACCGCAUGGUUCAAAAGUGAAAGACGGUCUUGCUGUCACUUAUAGAUGGAUCCGCGCUGCAUUAGCUAGUUGGUAAGGUAACGGCUUACCAAGGCAACGAUGCAUAGCCGACCUGAGAGGGUGAUCGGCCACACUGGAACUGAGACACGGUCCAGACUCCUACGGGAGGCAGCAGUAGGGAAUCUUCCGCAAAGGGCGAAAGCCUGACGGAGCAACGCCGCGUGAGUGAUGAAGGUCUUCGGAUCGUAAAACUCUGUUAUUAGGGAAGAACAUAUGUGUAAGUAACUGUGCACAUCUUGACGGUACCUAAUCAGAAAGGCACGGCUAACUACGUG
rnacentral:rRNA from 1 species